AGCGAACGUUAGCGGCAGGCCUAACACAUGCAAGUCGAGCGAGAAAGGGGCUUCGGCCCUGAGUAAAGCGGCGGACGGGUGCGUAACACGUGGGUAAUGUGUCCCUCAGCGGGGGAUAACGGUCCGAAAGGAUCGCUAAUACCGCAUACGUCGGAGAGGACUUCGGUCUUCUCCGGGAAAGGUGGCCUCUUCAUGAAAGCUACCACUGAAGGAGCAGCCCGCGUCCCAUCAGCAGUUGGUGAGGUAACGGCUCACCAAGGCUUAGACGGGUAGCUGGUCUGAGAGGAUGAUCAGCCACACUGGAACUGAGACACGGUCCAGACUCCUACGGGAGGCAGCAGUGGGGAAUAUUGGGCAAUGGGCGCAAGCCUGACCCAGCCAUGCCGCGUGAGUGAUGAAGGCCUC
rnacentral:rRNA from 1 species